GGACAGGUGGCUGAGUGGUUUAAGGCACUCGACUCGAAAUCGAGCGUACCCUUUAAAGGUACCGUGGGUUCGACUCCCACCCUGUCCG
rnacentral:tRNA from 1 species